AGUCUGUUGAGGCUGAUAGCAUAAAGAAGCUAGUGGCAGAUAUUCAAAGGCUUUCUAAUGCUAGAAUGUUUGCCAUUGGAAUGCGUAAGCUCCUUGGAGUAAAAUUGGAUGAGAAAUCAGAUGAAAAUAGUGCAAACUCUGAUAUUAAAGUGCCAUUUGGAGGUAAAAGUGGUGUUGAGGCAGCUGAUAAGUUAUCAGAGCAGGUGAGGAGGGCAUUUAAAAUAGAAGCAGUUGGACUAAUGAGUUUGUGGUUCACUUUUGGCUCUGGUGUGCUUGCUCGCUUUGUCGUUGAGUGGCAAUCAGGUAAAGAGGGAUGCACAAUACAUGUUUCUCCUGACCAACUAUGGUCGCAAACUAAGUUUUUG
rnacentral:misc_RNA from 1 species